rnacentral:lncRNA from 1 species
CUUGUUUUUCCUUUUUCCUUUUGUUUCUUUGAAAUAUGUAAUGAUUUAGCCACUACAAUAUUCUGAGAUCUUUCAGAUUUUGUUAUUAAUUACAUUAUCUUAAUUUGAAAGGUUUAAAUUGUUUUAUUUAAAUACUUGUUUUUAGGGGCUGACAGUUCAAAGACUUCCUUGAAGUACAUGUCUCUUUGUCAACUUUUCAAAGGUGAAACAUUGGUAAAAAUCUAUUUCUUGUCUUGAACCAGCAUAUUGAGUUUUUCUGGGUAGAUAGUUUUGGGCUCAUUUGUCUAUCCUACUUAAUUUUUUGACAUAGGGACAUGAGUUUUUGCCUUUGUGGAAAAGUUACAUCUAUUAAUUUUGCUUUUUCUGUGCUGAAAUUUCUAGUGAUUUCUUAGUGAUUCAUUGAGACUUAGGACAAUUUGCAUGAUCAGGAUCCAUGAUAUGGGAUUAUGGGUAGAAAUGACAAGAUAAUUUAUUUUUUAUGCCUUCGAAAUUCUUUGUUGGAAGUACCAAUCAAGUGGGAUACCAUCUUGCUUAAGUAUGGAGGAGAAGAGAUGAAGACACCCAGGCUAUCCUAACUUGGCCAGAAAUUUGAAGGCAAAUGAGUGUCAGAACAGAUCAGGUUAUAUAUAACCUGUGAGCUUCAAAAUUUGGAAGAGCCUCCCGAGAUGCAGCAACUCCUGAAGUCCAAAGCAGUGAAGCUGGUCUGUAUUCCCUUUUUGCCUGUGCAAAUAAAACUACAUCCUCUGAGUUCCAAAUGUGGGAUUCUCAGAACACAUCCUCCUGGAAGAGAAGGCUAUCAUGAGCAGUGUCAAACUCUUGGAAAAUGGAAGAGGAUUGUGCAUGUGGUUCUGAAUCUGGAGAAGCAGCAGGGGAGCUUGAGAUGAGAUGGAGAACAAAAGACCCAGACUUUAGCUGCUUAAAAAUAUAUUAUGAACUAUAUAAUCAACAAACAUGUAUUUAUAAAGAAAAAUGAGAAAAAAGAUUGCACAUGAGAUGAGUCUAUACUGCCUAUUAUUUUUCAGAGGUAUAUAUUAAGUUUAACAUGAUCAUUUUGUACCAACAUUGACUUGCUUGACUACCCCCUUCUGAACUUCCUGCAGCUCACACAUAUUUUUAAAAAACAAAUUUAGUUCAUCUUAUUUUCUCUUUUCUCUCUUUCUCUUUCUCUCUCUCUCUCUCUCUCUCUCUCUCUCUCUCUCUCUCUCUCUCUCUCUCUCUCUCUCUCUCUCUUUGUGAAACCAUCAUUAUCUCUGAUCCUCUGUUAUCACUAUGAGUUAUUUGGACAGUGCAGAUCCAGUGGAAGAGAGGGUUCCUACCACAGCAAUCUCAAGUUCAUUUCCUUCCUCAUGUCCAAUCACCUUAAAAUGGAA